UACGGAGGGGGCUAGCGUUGUUCGGAAUUACUGGGCGUAAAGCGCACGUAGGCGGCUUUGCAAGUUAGAGGUGAAAGCCCAGGGCUUAACCCUGGAAUUGCCUUUAAACCUGCAUCGCUAGAAUUGUGGAGAGGUAAGUGGAAUUCCGAGUGUAGAGGUGAAAUUCGUAGAUAUUCGGAAGAACACCAGUGGCGAAGGCGACUUACUGGACACAUAUUGACGCUGAGGUGCGAAAGCGUGGGGAGCAAACAGG
rnacentral:rRNA from 1 species